GGAGUCGGCCAGGCAGCCGCAGUGCCCGUUUCGGGGAUUGAGGAAAGUCCGGGCUCCACAGGGCAAGGUGCCAGGUAAUACCUGGGCAGCGCGAGCUGACGGCCAGUGCAACAGAAAGCAUACCGCCUUCGGAUUGUCCGGAGGUAAGGGUGAAAUGGUGCGGUAAGAGCGCACCGCGCUGCUGGCAACAGCAGUGGCAGGGUAAACCCCACCUGGAGCAAGACCAAAUAGGGAUCCUCGAGAUGUGGCCCGCAUCGGAUCCGGGUAGGUUGCUUGAGAUAUCUGGCGACAGGUAUCCCAGAUGAAUGGCUGCCCACGACAGAACCCGGCUUAUCGGCCGACUCCUCCC
rnacentral:RNase_P_RNA from 1 species